AUUGCUCUUUCCGUUGUCCUUCCCAUUGAUCCCUCUCACUAGUGUAAUAGUUACUCCUGAACCAAAGCACCUCUUUGGAGAGCACCUUCCCAUUGAUCCCUCUCACUAGUGUAAUAGUUACUCCUGAUCCAAAGCACCUCUUUGGAGAGCACAGGUAAACGCCUUCAGUUUUAAGAUAAAUGUCCCUAGGAAGGAAUGGUUGUGGUAGUUGUAGGACAUGUAUGGUUAUUUCCAUGAUCGAAUGAAGGGAUUGGUUUACUUCGCUUCCCCUGAAAAUAGGUCUGGUACUGAUCACUCUAUUGCAGCAGGGUGCUAGGGGAAUAAGGUUUUAUAAGUAAGAUUAAGUUCCUUUUGUUCGAAGUCAGUGUGUAUAAUAGGUUGAGGAACGAGUUAAGUUAGAGAUUAUAACAAGAUCCCCCUAUGCUUAAGAGAAGCGCGUGCAAAUGAGAUAAACGAGGCUGGGUAUGUGAACAAGGUGCCCUCAUACGUUACAUGAGGCUAGAAAGUUUUCAUGGAUUUCCUUUAUUUAAUAUAAGAUUAUUCCCCAUUUUAGUACUAUCACAGCUGCAAUCAUCGAUUGUAUAAAGAAUGCUAAGUUUUCUUGGAUCGACUCCGUUACUGCAAGCUUCAAUUGCUUAAGAAGAAAUUGUGUUCAACUGUUAUCUUAUCACUACCCAAUUUUUCGUUACAAUUUGAGGUUCGAACUGAUGCUUCUAAGCUAGGUGUUGGGGCUGUGUUAAGUCAAUCUAGCAAACCAGACGCGUUUUUCAGUGAAAAGUUAAAUGAAGCUAAGCGUAGCUAUAGUUUUUAUGAGUUCAAAUUUUAUGUUAUCAUUUAAACAAUUAAGUGUUGGUGCCAUUAUUUAAUUCAUUUGGAAUCUAUGUUGUUUAUAGAUCAGGACAGUCUCAAACACAUUGGAAAUAAAGACAAGAUGAAUGCUCGUCAAGUAAAGUGGCCUAACUAUAUGCAAGAGUUUUACUUUGUUCUUAAACAUAAGGCUGGCGUUCAAACCUGUCAGACGGAUUAAAUCUUCGAAGAAGUCUUCUAACCUCUCUUUGUAUCUAGGUAACGGGAUUUCAUUCUUUUUCAUAAUUAUAUUGAGAUGAUCAUUCUUCUCUCUUAUUUUAGACACUAUCGAAGCGGGAAAAAGAUCCCAGUUCAUUUUUCUUAAUGAGUUCCUCUUCAAGGGCACACGAUUGUGUGUAUCUGAAUUUAGUUGGCACCUGAAUGACAUUCAGGAAUUACAUGAUACGUUUAUCGGUUUCAUGGUCUUCCGGAAACUAUUUUUUUGGCCCGCGAUUCCAAAUUCUUAAGUUAUUUCUGGAUAUGUUGGUGGAAGUUACUACAUACAAAUUUAAAUUUUAGUAGCACAUAUCAUCCUCAAACGUAUGGCCGACUGAGGUUGUGAAUCGUUCUCUUGGUGAUACAUGGGUUUAACCCUUGCGCUGCCUUGAUCUUGCCCUUGUUCCUGACUUGGAGCAAGUGCAUACUAUUACUGAUGCAUUAGUUCAAAGUAUCCAAGAGAUUCACGGUGCUACUCCCCAGAACUUGGUUGCCUCAUCUACGAAGUAUAAGUCCGUUGCAGAUCAACAUCGUCGCCAUGUUUUUGUAUGAAGUACGUUGGUGAUUUUGUUUGGAAAAUGCUUACUAAAGAAUAUUUUUUAGAUGGUACCUACAAUAAAUUGGGUCCUCGAAAGGUUGGUCCACUAGAAAUCAUUGAAAAUAUCAGUUCUGAUUAUUAGAGCACUGCUCGGUCGAACUCGCAAGCGUUGCUAUCUCAAGAUUGUUUGUCAAGUUUAGUUGCUAAAACUAUAAGUCUUGAUUUCUAGUCUACUUAUACCAAUGUCUCGAU